AGAGCGAACGCUGGCGGCAGGCCUAACACAUGCAAGUCGGACGGACCCUUCGGGGUUAGUGGCGGACGGGUGAGUAACACGUGGGAACGUGCCUUUUGGUUCGGAAUAGCUCCUGGAAACGGGUGGUAAUGCCGAAUGUGCCCUUCGGGGGAAAGAUUUAUCGCCAUUAGAGCGGCCCGCGUCUGAUUAGCUAGUUGGUGAGGUAAAGGCUCACCAAGGCUACGAUCAGUAGCUGGUCUGAGAGGAUGACCAGCCACAUUGGGACUGAGACACGGCCCAAACUCCUACGGGAGGCAGCAGUGGGGAAUCUUGCGCAAUGGGCGAAAGCCUGACGCAGCCAUGCCGCGUGAAUGAUGAAGGUCUUAGGAUUGUAAAAUUCUUCACCGGGACAUAAUGACGGUACCGGAGAAGAAGCCCCGGCUAACUCGUGCCAGCCAGCCGC
rnacentral:rRNA from 1 species